UUCGCUUCUCAGCCUUUUGGCUAAGAUCAAGUGGAGUAUCUGUUAUUAUCAGUUUAAUAUCUGAUAUGUCCUCUAUCCUCAGACAAUAUAUGAAAUGGGUUUUUGAAGCUAGGAGUUGGAAUAGGAGCUUGCUCCGUCCACUCCACACAUCCACCUGGUAUUGCAGUACCUCCAGGAAUGGUGCUCCCCCA